ACCAAACAAAGCCCAGAGGCAGUACAGAGGCUGAGAGUGCAGGCAUGAAAGUCUGAUGAGCAGUUGAUUUUAAGGCCAAAGCUUUUAUUCUCAGAAUUUAGAGGUCCUCUGUGUGGCUUCCUUCAUUAGGCUGACUACCAAAGCUGUAAUUUCCUUUCAUGAUAAUGGGCUAUAAAGCAGUCAUUCUAAAUUUGACUCCAUUGACUGGUAGUUAGUCCUAAAUUUCCCAUCAUGCUUGCAUUACAGAGGGUUUUGUGAAAGAGAAUGACCUGAUUUUAUGCUAUUUUUAUUAACAAAGGUUAAGGUGUCUAUGGAGUUGAUUGAUCUCGACUCAGUCACCAUUGGACUUUGCCCAAAACACGGUUCCAGAGAUUCCAAGGUUAGAGCUCUGAAAAUAAUCAGAACUUUGCAGAGUUGGGGCAGCUCUGCUUAUUAACAUGUCAAUGAGAUGAUUCAUGCAGGAGAAUUGUUUAAUCUUUUCAAUUAAGUUAAUACUUAAUAUUCUGACUUUCAGAACCUGAAAAGACCACCUUCGAUAACACGAAAGACAACAAGGAAAAUCAGCAAAUCUCAGAUGAACACAAAGCUAGCACGCAUUCUGACCUAAACCAAGAGGACGAAAGAGUUUUCGUUAUGCUGCAUGACUAUGAAGACAGAACUGAGAAACAGUAACAGAUCAAACUAGACCAACUAUGAAAGCAUUUGGUGUCGUCAUAAAUACAGAAAGACCCAUGUACUUAGGGAAGAAUAGUUUGGAAGAUCUACUUCAGUCUUAGAUAAUAUUAUGCUCGACAAUUAAAUCACAGUUUGACAGCACACAUGCAGAAAGGUCAGAGUUCAAUUAUUUUGCCAAUCCACUUAUAGGUUUACUAUUAAUUUCUCACAAAUAGUUUGGUGUCCAUUGUUUUCUGAACUACAAUAAAAUAAUUUGUCACUCAUUGAGCCCUUGCCUGUACAUCCUUCAGUGAGAACUGCUUCCUCCUGCAGGCUGGACCCAAGACCCAGGCCUAGGUGGCCACCUUUGCUCAGAUUUUCUUACCAUCUUCGCCUCAACUGAUUGGGCCCAAAUAGACACACCUCACUCAAGGAGAACCAAUCAGAUUUUCUCUUGCUCUCUUAAAAAAAAA